rnacentral:rRNA from 1 species
AUACGUAGGUGGCAAGCGUUGUCCGGAAUUAUUGGGCGUAAAGCGCAUGUAGGCGGUUUGGUAAGUCGGUCGUGAAAAUGCGGUGCUUAACGCCGGAUGGGGAUCGAAACUGCUGAACUUGAGUGCAGGAGAGGAAAGGGGCAAUCCCAGUGUAGCGGUGAAAUGCGUAGAUAUUGGGAAGAACACCGGUGGCGAAGGCGCCUUUCUGGACUGUGUCUGACGCUCAGAUGCGAAAGCCAGGGUAGCGAACGGGAUUAGAUACCCCGGUAGUCCUGGCCGUAAACGAUGGGUACUAGGUGUGGGAGGUAUCGACUCCUUCCGUGCCGGAGUUAACGCAAUAAGUACCCCGCCUGGGGAGUACGGCCGCAAGGCUUAAACUCAAAGGAAUUGACGGGG